AAGGAAGAGGAGAAGGUACCUCUCGGUGUCUUGUUUACUCCCACUAUGCAUACAUUUUUAGAAAGCAAGUUACUGAACCAUAUGGAAAAGGAAAAAACUAAGAUGGAGUUUCACUCUUGUUACCCAGGCUUGAGUGCAAUGAUGCGAGCUUGGCUCCCUGCAACCUCUGCCUCCCAGGUUCAAGUGAUUCUCCUGCCUCAGCCUCCCGAGUAGCUAGUAUUACAGGAGAAAACCAAAAGCCAAGGCACCACUUCCUCCAGCUGAGACCAAAUACACUGGUGUCUCUUCAGCUGCUGAUUGUAUAGAAUCCACUGCUUUCAUCAUGGAACAGAAAGAAAACAUGAUAGAUAAAGACGUUGAACUCUCAGUGGUCCUACCUGGGGAUAUUAUCAAAUCUACUACUGUUCAUGGCAGGCUAAACUUUUAAAGCAAAAUGUUCAUUUUGGGAAAUCUGAUAA
rnacentral:sRNA from 1 species